rnacentral:rRNA from 1 species
CCUACGGGAGGCAGCAGUGGGGGAUAUUGCACAAUGGGGGAAACCCUGAUGCAGCGACGCCGCGUGGGUGAAGAAGCGCCUCGGCGCGUAAAGCCCUGUCAGCCGGGAAGAAAAUGACGGUACCUGAAGAAGAAGCCCCGGCUAACUACGUGCCAGCAGCCGCGGUAAUACGUAGGGGGCAAGCGUUAUCCGGAUUUACUGGGUGUAAAGGGGGCGCAGACGGGGAUGCAAGCCAGGAGUGAAAGCCCGGGGCCCAACCCCGGGACUGCUCUUGGAACUGCGUGGCUAGAGUGCAGGAGGGGCAGGCGGAAUUCCUGGUGUAGCAGUGAAAUGCGUAGAUAUCAGGAGGAACACCGGUGGCGAAGGCGGCCUGCUGGACUGCAACUGACGUUGAGGCCCGAAAGCGUGGGGAGCAAACAGGAUUAGAUACCCGGGUAGUC